CCAGUCAGCCGGACAGUCGCGCGCCUUCGGGCUCGAGGAAAGUCCGGGCUCCUCCUGGCAGGGUGGUGGGUAACGCCCACCCGGAGCGAUCCGCGGGACAGUGCCACAGAGAGCAGACCACCAGCGCAAGCUGGCCAGGGUGAAAGGGUGGUGUAAGAGACCACCGCGCAGCCGGUGACGGAUGCGGCACGGCAAACCCCACUCGGAGCAAGGUCAGACAGGAAGCGCAUCGGCCGCCAGGGUCGGCUUCCGGGUAGACCGCUGGAGGCCGUCGGCAACGGCGGUCCUAGACAGAUGACUGUCGAUCACAGAACCCGGCUUACAGGCUGACUGGUCCC
rnacentral:RNase_P_RNA from 1 species